rnacentral:lncRNA from 1 species
CGUGCCGAUUGUUGCCUCCGGCAGCGGUGGAAGUUCAAAACAAACAAAUCAAAGCCUAAUGGAAUCGUCUCACCUUGCAGAAGCUCAAUCUAGACCAAGUUAUUGCCAAUUGCUCACAAAUCAUAAGAAUUGAGAGAAACAAGAUAUGAACCCUAGAUCCUAAAUCCCAAAUUAAAUGUCAAAGCGUAAAGAAACGGAGUUAAAACCAUAGGGGUUUGGCUCCUCACACCAUGCUCUACAUUACAACAAAGAGAAAUGAGCAAGAAAAUAGCUUUUACCAACCUUCGAAGCGGAGGUGUGCUUCGGUGUUUGUUGAGAUUGAGGAAGACGAAGCCCAAGAAAAUACCAGAGAAAAUGCAAUUAUCUAGUUACUGUGAUUCGAAUCUCUGCUUUGCCUAAUGUCUUUCUUCUUCCACUUCUUCUUCUUCUUCAAACUUCUUUUAAACUAUGGUGUUGCACCGUGAGAGAGGUUAAAGCUCGAAUGAUUAGAGCUUCUGAUGUUGAAGCUCUAGUAGUUACAAUUGGGAUGAGAGUGUGGUGAGGGAUUGAGAGGUUUUGCAGAAUGAGAGUGAGAGUGUGAAUUUUGCAGGUUAUCCAAAAAGGUGGUAGGAUAAUGAUGAUGAUUGGUUUAAAUAGGGAUUCGGCUCGGGUUGGAAUAGUUUGGAGUUAGUUAUAUUUAGGUUUAGAAGUUAGUUGGGUGAGGUAUGGAAUCAGUUGAGAUUGGCUCAUUGAGUUAGCAGUUAACUCAGUUAGUUAAUUGUUUUGGACUCAGUUAGUAACUUCAUUUUGCCUUUGACUGCCUAUU